GGAAUCCAACACCACAGCUAGAAAGAGCGUCUUAGAAUGAGUAAAACUGCAAAGUUUGGUUGCGAAAUGUUGUAAAAUGAGGAAAAUAUAGCCCUGUGAAGUUCGCAAAUUUUGUAUCUAUUUGACAUUUGUAUUACGCACGGUAAAAUGUAAAUAUAUACAAAAUUUGCGAACUUCACAGGGCUAUAUUUUCUUCAUUUUACAACAAUUCGCAACCAAACUUUGCAAUUUUACUCAUUUUAAGAUGCUCUUUCCAGCUAUGGUAAUGAAUUCC